rnacentral:SRP_RNA from 1 species
GGGCACAGUGGUGCAUGCCUGUAGUCCCAGUUACUCGGGAGGCUGAGGUGGGAGGAUCACUUGAGCCCAUGCCGAUAGGGUGUCCACACUAAGUUCGGCAUCAAUAUGGUGACCUCCCAGCAGCAGGGGACCACCAGGUUGCCUAAGGAGGGGUGAACCGGCCCAGGUUGCAAAUGGAGCAGGUCAAAACUAAAACUCCCAUGCUGAUCAGUAGUGGGAUCGUGCCUGUGAAUAGCCACUGCACUCCAGCCUGGGCAACAUAGUGAGACCCCAUCUCUU